AACAAAGCAUUUUUUGAGAGCUAACUUUUCCAUUUUGUGCUCUUUCUACCAUCUAUCUACUGGCAAACUACUUGUGAAUUUGCAAUAUCAAAUACCUCUGAUUAUCUCAACUUUGGGUAUACUUAAAAGCUCCUCAGAGACAAGAAUGAUGAGAAGUGUCAAAUUUUGUUAGGCAAGGUUGGACAAUGAGCAAAGGACCCUUGGAGUACGUACAUACAUGUACUCCUAAACAACGGGGCCCAACCCUACACUCAGCUCUCUAGCUUCGGGUCCAUUGUAGUAGUCUAAUGUGCAAAAAGAUAAGUAUGCUUGCACCAAAUCAAUGAAGAAGGAAGGUAGCUACUGCGAAACCAGAAACUCUGGCAAUGCCGAUUCAUUGUAUUCACGAGCCUUAAAACUGGUUUCCAUCACAUUCUCAAGUACGUCACCUUCCACACCUACAAGACAUGCCACAUGUCACUAAAACAUAAAAUUCCCAAUCAUUAGGCUCCCACUAAUUUCCAAAUCACGAGCAGGGUAACGGAUGAAUCAGCAUACAAAAGGGGAGCUCAAAGCUAACCAGAUUUGGACUAAAUCAAAUAAAAAUUUCUCCUUUCAAAAAUGCCAAUCCGACACAGAACACCAUUAUCGCCAAUGUGCAGCAAACCCACUAAUUCUAACUAUUCAGUACACAAACUAACUUGGGUACCUUAUAGAGGGAGGGAAAAGGUUGUAGGGCUGACUUUCAGUUAAAGGUAGUAAAAGUAAAACAGCAGCACAUGAUUUUUAAACUAACUUUACUUUACCCCUUCAAGUAGGAUCUGGGGUUUCCACUCACAUUUGCUACCAUGCAUGGUUCAUUUCAUCCCACAUGCCACCAGAAUGAAUGCUUUAUUACUCAACUAAAGCUUCUCUGUUUAAGCCAUCUUUGCAAAGUGGCCAACAAGUAGUACUUCAGUACAAAGAAUAGAUGGACAAAUCUCCUUGAUUUAUAGCAGCCUUAUAACCAGGUUGAUACCAACAUGUUCGGAAAAAGCAUAUUCAGAGCCUGACGGAAUUUUACCACUUACUAAGCAAGGCCAGAAAGUUAAAGCUUUAAGUGAACUAGAUACAUAUGGUUCCUAGAAAAUUGUUCACAUAUUAUCAUCCGUCUUCCUAACAAUGACUGAAUCUUCCAAUAUUGAAAUAAUGGACGAUGAAAGAAAGCUUGUGGCAAAAACCUGGAGCUGAUGAGAGGGUCAAGUGCAAUAGCUGGUGCAGUUAAUUUGGAGGUGGAUGGUGCAUGUUUGGCGGUGGAGGUGGCUGCAUUUGUUGCAUGAAGGGCCUCCCAGCAAACUGCUGAGGAGGAGGUGGCUGCUGCCACAUUUGUGGCUGGG
rnacentral:lncRNA from 1 species